UGUUGCACGUAUGUCAGCUUGCCUCUCUACCUGUUUGACCAUUGCGCUGGGGCCGUACCUGGCCAAUCACGCAUGAAUUAGUUUACACAAAACGCUAUUCAAAUACUCAACAUUCAAUGAUUAAUCUUCAUUUUGUGUGUACACGUGCACCCUUUGUGGCUUCUGUUCUCGCCAAAAUGUCGAAAUCUUCGAGAUAUGGCAAGGCUAUGAGAAUGCGAGGGGGGGUGUUACUUUAACUCGUGUGCGUGCCUCAAUAUGGCUACGCUCGUGAAA